AAAUAAUGAAGUAAAAUUUACAUUUAGUUUCGACCUAAAAUCAGAGAUAAUUCUCCUUAUUUA
rnacentral:tRNA from 1 species